GCAUCUUUGACAUGGUGGGGGGGGGGGCAAUCUGGUCCAGGUGUACAGACACAGGUGGCUAGGGAGGGUGCUCGUGCAGGUGCAGGGAUGGUGAGCACCGGUCAGUGAUGAUGACAGGCCCCGAGAGGCCAAGUCGUCACCCCGGCUGCUCGGUCUCCUAAGCCCUCUCCUCUGCAGCAGCUUUGAAACCCAGCUUUAUUCCCCAGCCCGUUUGCUGGUAGAUGAUGUGACCUUGGGCAAAAACACUCACUAACCCAGAUCCUCGUGUUUUAGAGGAAGAAACAGAGGUCCAGAGAAGUGGAGGGUCUUGGCUGAGAUCUUGGAGGCAGAGGCAGGACCAGAACCCGGGGCCCUGGACACCCUGGCUGCCUUCCUGGUGGCUUCACAUCCGAUGCCUGUCUUAGAAGAAGGGACAUCAGAGCUCAUCUACCCCAAGCCUUUCAUUUUAUGGAUGGAGGAAACGAGGACCUGAGAGGGAAAGGAACUUCUCCAAGGCCCACAGGGAUUUCAGAUUCCCAUCCAGGAUGCUUCCACUUCUGAGAAAACCAGCAAGAGGGUCGUGGAGCCUCAGAGGACGUCUUCUGAGAUGGGGCUUCGGUGCCUUCUGCAGGCACCUAAAACAGUCCACUGCCUCACCACUCAAGCACUACUCAUAUGAAUUGACUGCAUCAUCCCUGACUGUCUUGGUCACUUACCCUGGGCCUUUGGGCUGCAACGCCCCUACCCCAGCUGUGGUUUGGCAGACGCUAUUGGCAACGGAUCUUUCGCCACCAUCUUCACCCUGUUCUUCCAUGAAUGCAAUUAAUGGAUUCCAGGCUGGCAUUAUUUCUUUUAGCCACUACAACACAUCUUCAGGCUAACAAGAGAGACUUACAAAAUGCUUUGCAGAAAUCGAAAUACAUUGUCUAAAGCAUCCCACCAGAAGGGAAGUGAGGACUGGAUGAUGGAUGUGGCAAGAGCCGGUGGCUGACACCGCGCCGGGAGACUGCCUGUGCUCCCUGCUUCAGCAUCGCGGGCACGUCGGGCCCAGCCGGCAGGCCUCUGGGCUGGCUCUCGACUUCUGGGAAACCACUGCCAUGUCAUGAGGACAAGGGGAGGCCCACAUGGAGAGGCACUGAGGCCUCCAGCCAACAGCUUUGUGAGCGACCCUUCUCGAAGCAGAUUCUCCAGCCCCAGUCAAGACAUAGAUGCUGCAGACCCUGCAGCCAUCCUGACUGCAAGCACGUGAGAGACCCUGAACCAGAACUACUCAGCCAAUCCCAAAUACUUAUCCCACAGAAACUGUGAGGCAAUAAUGUUUGUUGUUUUAAGCUGCUAAAUUUUGGUACCAUUUGUUAUACAGCAAGAGAUAACUAAUUCACACCACUAAAUUACUAUGUGGCCAAGUUGUAUUUCCUUUCUAGGCCUCAGUUUUCUCACCUCUACUGGGGAGGUUGAACUAGAUAAUGGAUGGAAAAUAGGUUUCCUCUUGCCAUGGAAAUGCCAAUCAAUUAGUGCAUUGUGUUGAGAAAGAUUCUGAGAUUCUGCCUAAGGCUGGGGGACAGAGCGCAGCCAUUGAGUGGAGAGGGGAAGACAGGGGCACAUAUGUACCAUGUAUGUUCUGCUAAAGGUUCACUAAGUCCAUGGAGGGGAAAUCUCAAUUUCCCUUCCCUCUUACUAGACAUAACUCUAUACUGUACUCAGCUUCUUAGCACAGCAGGACAAAAGCAGCCACUCCCUAUACUACAGGUAUUUUGGCCUCUCAAGGCCUCAGGUCUGAAAUCAUCCAAUUAACAAGCAGUGGCUGGUGUUCUGGAGAUGAACCUGGAUUCAGAUUUUGUCUACCACUGAAUAGCUGUGUGACCUUGAGCAACUUACUUCAACUCUCUGAGCCCUAGCUUCCUUAUCUAUAAAAUGGAGAUUUCUCUAAGGAUGGUAACUAGUUAAUCAGUUCAGCAGGAAUCACUGUCUCACACACCAUCAGCCUAUCCUUGAGCUAGUGGCAUUUUAAGGGAUAUAACAAAGUAGCCCAUAGUUCUUGCCCUCAAGAACUUACCAUCUAUUUGAGGAGACAAGACUUGGCCACAAGUCACCAUCAGAGAACAUUUCGAGCUAACAGGAGCACAGUGCCUAAUGGUUUAUGGAGUGACUGCGUAUGCUUCAGUGGUUCUCAGAGUAUGGUUCCCAGACCACCGUCACUGGGGAACUUGUUAGAAAUGCAAAUUCUCAGGCCCCAGCCAAGACCUAUUGAAUCAAAUACUCUAGGAAUGAGGUCUAGGAAUCUGCCCUCCAGAUGAUACCAGUGUAUGCUCAAGUUUGAGAAUCACUGCUCUAGGAAUUUAGGAGACAGAGGGACCUAAUGGAGGAUCUGGAAUAUGAGCUGAAUCAUAAAGAAUGACUGGAAUUUGGAGAGUCAGAAGAAAGGAUAAAAGUGGUUUCAGAUAAACGUAAUGGUAUGAGCAAAGGUAAAAAGAUGGACAGGUUGGCAUGUGCUGGGGACAGUGAAGAAACAAGCUGGAUGAAACAGAAUACCAGUGUUGGGGAGGAGCAGGAGCUAAGGUUAGAUCGAUAGGGCCUCACAUGCCAGGCAAGGAGCUUGGCCUUGAAAGAAUAGGCCACAAGGAGCCAUUGCAGGUUUUUGAGUGGGAGAGUGACAACCACCUGGCAUGUCCUUUAGACCCGCCAACCAGAGUCCUUUCCCAGCUCUCUCACUGGGCUCCUAACUCAGAUGAAUGCCUCCACUCAUCAGCAUCCUCCAAAGCCGCGAGACCCCUAUAUGAGGUGAGAAGGCGGGCUAGGAGCAGCAGCCCCUCAGGCCUCCCUCCCGCAGAGGACCUCCAGAGCCCCCGCCCCACGCAAGCCGGAGCCGCUCCAGCAACCACGGGCCUUGCACAGGUAUUGAAUUAUGGAUGGAUGUAGCCAAGAAAUAAUUGCAAACAUUAUUGCCCCCCACACGUGUGUAAUCCGCGGGGCUGCGGCAAUAGCUUUUGUUGCUUUAACUCUCCAGGGUCAUUAUAAAUUAGAGCCAUCACAGGAACAGUGGGGCAGGGGACAUGGGGAGAGGAAAUCCUGUUUGGAAGCCCAAAAAGAGAUGGGCCUCUCAACAGUGUGCAUUGGUUACCCUCAAGUUUUCCUUUCGUUUGAUCUAUUCCACCCCUCCCUAUUAAAUAACUAAUUAUUUAACAUCUUUUAAAGCUUUGUUAUAUAUUAGAACAGGCAGGACACAAAUGAGUGCUUUUAAUAAUAUAAAAGCCCAUUAGCUUCAUUUACUGUUAAUGUUAAAAUAAACAUGAGGCAAUUUAGAUAUACUAUUCCAAUUUCACGGAAACUUUGAUGUUUUUCUUCUCUAGUCACAUAAUUAAGGGAAAAACUACUAAUGAUAUUAAGUUUGUACAGUGUUAAUGACAGAAUCAGGCACAAGCUGAAAUUGCAGCCAUUAAUAUGAAAAAAUAAAAUAUUUAACAGGGGAGAUAGAUGAGUGCAAUUUUA